UAAAUAUUAAUGUUUUUGCAUAAAAAUUUUUGAAAUUUUAAGAAAUAGAUAAAUCUAUUAUAUUUAA
rnacentral:tRNA from 1 species